ACGAACGCUGGCGGUGUGCUUAACACAUGCAAGUCGAACGGUAAGGCCCUUUCGGGGGUACACGAGUGGCGAACGGGUGAGUAACACGUGAGUAACCUGCCCUCAUCUCUGGGAUAACAGCCGGAAACGGUUGCUAAUACUGGAUAUGAGCUUGCAAGGCAUCUUGUGGGUUGGAAAGAUUUUUUUGGUUGGGGAUGGACUCGCGGCCUAUCAGCUUGUUGGUGAGGUAGUGGCUCACCAAAGCUUCGACGGGUAGCCGGCCUGAGAGGGCGACCGGCCACAUUGGGACUGAGAUACGGCCCAAACUCCUACGGGAGGCAGCAGUGGGGAAUAUUGCACAAUGGACGGAAGUCUGAUGCAGCAACGCCGCGUGCGGGAUGACGGCCUUCGGGUUGUAAACCGCUUUCAAUUGUGACGAAGCUUUUUGUGACGGUAGCAGUAGAAGAAGCACCGGCUAACUACGUG
rnacentral:rRNA from 1 species